rnacentral:rRNA from 1 species
UCUCCUGGAAACGGGUGGUAAUGCCGGAUGUUCCACAUGAGCGCAUGCGAGUGUGGGAAAGGCUUUUUGCGGCAUGGGAUGGGGUCGCGUCCUAUCAGCUUGUUGGUGGGGUAACGGCCUACCAAGGCGUUGACGGGUAGCCGGCCUGAGAGGGCGACCGGCCACAUUGGGGCUGAGAUACGGCCCAGACUCCUACGGGAGGCAGCAGUGGGGAAUAUUGCACAAUGGGCGCAAGCCUGAUGCAGCGACGCCGCGUGCGGGAUGGAGGCCUUCGGGUUGUAAACCGCUUUUGUUCAAGGGCAAGGCACGGUUUCGGCCGUGUUGAGUGGAUUGUUCGAAUAAGCACCGGCUAACUACGUGCCAGCAGCCGCGGUAAUACGUAGGGUGCAAGCGUUAUCCGGAUUUAUUGGGCGUAAAGGGCUCGUAGGCGGUUCGUCGCGUCCGGUGUGAAAGUCCAUCGCUUAACGGUGGAUCCGCGCCGGGUACGGGCGGGCUUGAGUGCGGUAGGGGAGACUGGAAUUCCCGGUGUAACGGUGGAAUGUGUAGAUAUCGGGAAGAACACCA